rnacentral:rRNA from 1 species
GUGAGGAAUAUUGCGCAUUGGAGGCAACUCUGACGCAGCCAUGCCGCGUGCAGGAAGAAGGCGCUACGCGUUGUAAACUGCUUUUAACCGGGAAGAAACCCCAGGACGUGUCCUGGGUUGACGGUACCGGAGGAAUAAGCACCGGCUAACUUCGUGCCAGCAGCCGCGGUAAUACGAAGGGUGCAAGCGUUAUCCGGAUUCAUUGGGUUUAAAGGGUGCGUAGGCGGAGUGUUAAGUCAGUGGUGAAAUCCUGCAGCUUAACUGUAGACUUGCCAUUGAUACUGGCGCUCUUGAGUGCGCUGGAAGUGGGCGGAAUGUGCCGUGUAGCGGUGAAAUGCUUAGAUAUGGCACAGAACACCAAUUGCGAAGGCAGCUCACUAAGGCGAUACUGACGCUGAGGCACGAAAGCGUGGGGAUCGAACAGGAUUAGAUACCCCUGUAGUCC